rnacentral:misc_RNA from 1 species
AUGAACCUUAUCAAAAGACUAGCUGAGGAGGGGCAGAUGCCUGCUUCUAAUGAUCCUCAGAGAAACCCAGCAGUAGCAGCAAAGACUUUUCGAAAUGGAAAUGGCACCAGCAGUGAGAUGUCAACUGCUUCAUCUGGGGUAACUAACACAGAAAAUGGGACUGAAUACUCAAGCACCUCAAAAGAUGACUAAGUGAAAUAACCAUACUGAUUGGACAGCAGUUCUAUCACUGUUUAAAUGUAUGAUUGUUUGGCUUGCAUUUUGGACGGCAGUUGUAUGCAUAUUGUCCGCAAUCAUCAACUCUUGUAAGCAUGCAAGAGAAACAGAUUUUGGAGGCAUUAAUUUUAGUGUACGUGCCGCACACGGGGCUAAUUGAUUGUGAGAGAGCCCCAUUCAAAUAUUCAAUAGGUCCUAUGUAUUAGUCUAGGUGUUGACUUUGUAUUUUUUCCUUAAUUUUAUUAGACAA